rnacentral:rRNA from 1 species
UUAAGUUAAUAAGGGCGCACGGUGGAUGCCUUGGCACUAGAAGCCGAUGAAGGACGUGACUAACGACGAAAUGCUUUGGGGAGCUGUAAGUGAGCAAUGAUCCAGAGAUGUCCGAAUGGGGGAACCCGGCAGGUAAUGCCUGUCACUCAUUACUGUUAAGGUAAUGUAGAGGAAGACGCAGUGAACUGAAACAUCUAAGUAGCUGUAGGAAGAGAAAGCAAAAGCGAUUGCCUUAGUAGCGGCGAGCGAAACGGCAAGAGGGCAAACCGAAGAGUUUACUCUUCGGGGUUGUAGGACUGCAACGUGGACUUAAAGAUUAUAGAAGAACUACCUGGGAAGGUAGGCCAAAGAGAGUAAUAGCCUCGUAUUCGAAAUAGUCUUUAUACCUAGCAGUAUCCUGAGUACGGCGAGACACGAGAAAUCUCGUCGGAAUCUGGGAGGACCAUCUCCCAACCCUAAAUACUCUCUAGUGACCGAUAGUGAACCAGUACCGUGAGGGAAAGGUGAAAAGCACCCCGGGAGGGGAGUGAAAUAGAACCUGAAACCGUGUGCCUACAACAAGUUCGAGCCCGUUAAUGGGUGAGAGCGUGCCUUUUGUAGAAUGAACCGGCGAGUUACGAUAUGAUGCGAGGUUAAGUUGAAGAGACGGAGCCGUAGGGAAACCGAGUCUUAAUAGGGCGCAUUAGUAUCAUGUCGUAGACCCGAAACCAUGUGACCUACCCAUGAGCAGGUUGAAGGUGAGGUAAAACUCACUGGAGGACCGAACCAGGGCACGUUGAAAAGUGCUUGGAUGACUUGUGGGUAGCGGAGAAAUUCCAAACGAACUUGGAGAUAGCUGGUUCUCUCCGAAAUAGCUUUAGGGCUAGCGUCGAUGUUAAGUCUCUUGGAGGUAGAGCACUGUUUGGGUGAGGGGUCCAUCCCGGAUUACCAAUCUCAGAUAAACUCCGAAUGCCAAUGAGAUAUAAUCGGCAGUCAGACUGCGAGUGCUAAGAUCCGUAGUCGAAAGGGAAACAGCCCAGACCACCAGCUAAGGUCCCAAAAUAUAUGUUAAGUGGAAAAGGAUGUGGGGUUGCACAGACAACUAGGAUGUUAGCUUAGAAGCAGCUAUUCAUUCAAAGAGUGCGUAAUAGCUCACUAGUCGAGUGACCCUGCGCCGAAAAUGUACCGGGGCUAAAACAUAUUACCGAAGCUGUGGAUACCUUUAUAGGUAUGGUAGGAGAGCGUUCUAUGUGCGAAGAAGGUGUACCGUGAGGAGUGCUGGAGCGCAUAGAAGUGAGAAUGCCGGUAUGAGUAGCGAAAGACAGGUGAGAAUCCUGUCCACCGUAAGACUAAGGUUUCCAGGGGAAGGCUCGUCCGCCCUGGGUUAGUCGGGACCUAAGGAGAGACCGAAAGGUGUAUCCGAUGGACAACAGGUUGAUAUUCCUGUACUAGAGUAUAUAGUGAUGGAGGGACGCAGUAGGCUAACUAAACCAGACGAUUGGAAGUGUCUGGCCAAGCAGUGAGGUGUGAUAUGAGUCAAAUGCUUAUAUCUUUAACAUUGAGCUGUGAUGGGGAGCGAAGUUUAGUAGCGAAGUUAGUGAUGUCACACUGCCGAGAAAAGCUUCUAGCGUUAAUUAUACUCUACCCGUACCGCAAACCGACACAGGUAGUCGAGGCGAGUAGCCUCAGGUGAGCGAGAGAACUCUCGUUAAGGAACUCGGCAAAAUGGCCCCGUAACUUCGGGAGAAGGGGCGCUGACUGAUGGUCAGCCGCAGUGAAUAGGCCCAAGCAACUGUUUAUCAAAAACACAGCUCUCUGCUAAAUCGUAAGAUGAUGUAUAGGGGGUGACGCCUGCCCGGUGCUGGAAGGUUAAGAGGAGUGCUUAGCGUAAGCGAAGGCAUGAAUUGAAGCCCCAGUAAACGGCGGCCGUAACUAUAACGGUCCUAAGGUAGCGAAAUUCCUUGUCGGGUAAGUUCCGACCCGCACGAAAGGCGUAAUGAUUUGGGCACUGUCUCAACGAGAGACUCGGUGAAAUUUUAGUACCUGUGAAGAUGCAGGUUACCCGCGACAGGACGGAAAGACCCCAUGGAGCUUUACUGCAGUUUGAUAUUGAGUAUCUGUACCACAUGUACAGGAUAGGUAGGAGCCUAUGACCUCGGGACGCCAGUUUCGAGUGAGGCGUUGUUGGGAUACUACCCUUGUGUUAUGGCUACUCUAACCCAGAUAGGUUAUCCCUAUCGGAGACAGUGUCUGACGGGCAGUUUGACUGGGGCGGUCGCCUCCUAAAAGGUAACGGAGGCGCCCAAAGGUUCCCUCAGAAUGGUUGGAAAUCAUUCGCAGAGUGUAAAGGUAUAAGUAGAGCUUUCUGCUUCUGGUAGCAGGCAGAUAGCAUCAGCAUUGAUAAUAGUCCGUUCUUCAUUUUGAUAAAUGCCAGGAACAAAGGUUGCUGGUUGUUCACUAUCGAUGCCGCUAUAGACUGAAUAUUGACUGAUAAGGUAUAAAGUGUUAUCGAUUAACCGGGAACUUGUAUAAUAACCAUCCUGUCCGACACUAUUCAAUAGUUGGGGAGAAGUAGGAUCGCUGAUAUCAUAAAUUAGAAUAGACGUCACUUCUGUGCUGCCUGGCCAAUAGUCUGCCACUGCAUCUGUCUUGACGGCAGCUCCAUUGGCAUCGGAAUUGCUUGUUGCACUAGGAUAACUGCAAAUCAUUAAUUGAGCCUUAGAAGUGAUUACUGCUAAAUAGUUAUCAUAGACAUAGAUCUCCGAGGCAAAUUGAUAGUUUUCAUCUGCUGCUAAUUCGUCAAAGUCGGGUAGUAUCUUAGUUUGGGAAAGAAUAGCGCUGUCAGCACCGUUGGCACUACUGAUAAUCAAUUCAUUAUCAC